rnacentral:rRNA from 1 species
UUUGACGGUGGCAGGCAAAUCCACCACCGGAGGUAAGUUGUUACAGCGAGUGGAGCUACGGCGAAGCGAAGCGGACGUAAUCACGGUGCCGGGAAAUACUGUCUAAGGCCAGGUUAUAGAAGACCGUACCGUAAUCCGACACAGGUAGGUGGGAUGAGAAAUCUAAGGCGCUCGAGAGAACUCGCGUUAAGGAACUCGGCAAAAUGCACACGUAACUUCGGAAGAAGUGUGGCCCCUGUUUGGUUAAAGAGUGGGGGUGGCACAGAGCAGGCCCAGGCGACUGUUUAUCAAAAACACAGCCAUCUGCGAAUCAGCAAUGAGACGUAUAGGUGGUGACACCUGCCCGGUGCUGGAAGGUUAAGAGGAGCGGUUCGAGGUAACUCAAAGCUGUGAAUCGAAGCCCCAGUAAACGGCGGCCGUAACUAUAACGGUCCUAAGGUAGCGAAAUUCCUUGUCGGGUAAGUUCCGACCCGCACGAAUGGUGUAACGAUUCUGGGCACUGUCUCAACGCGAGACUCGGUGAAAUUUAUAUACCGGUAAAGAAGCCGGUUACCCACAGUUAGACGGAAAGACCCCGUGAACCUUCACCGUAACUUAUUAUUGGAUCUUGGUGUAGCAUGUGUAGCAUAGGUGGGAGACUACGAGACGUGGCCGUUAGGUUGCGUGGAGUCGACCAGUGAAAUACCACCCUUGCUACAUCAGGUUUCUAACCUAAUCCGUGAAUCCGGGUUGGGGACAAUGAUAGGUGGGCGGUUUGACUGGGGCGGUCGCCUCCUAAAGAGUAACGGAGGUGCGCGAAGGUCUCCUCGCGCUGGUUGGAAAUCAGCGUACGAGUGUAAAGGCACAAGGAGGCUUGACUGCGAGACUGACAGGUCGAGCAGGUACGAAAGUAGGUCUUAGUGAUCUGGCGGUAGCGAGUGGAAGCGCCGUCACUUAACGGACAAAAGGUACUCCGGGGAUAACAGGCUGAUUUUCCCCAAGAGUUCACAUCGACGGGAAAGUUUGGCACCUCGAUGUCGGCUCAUCGCAUCCUGGGGCUGAAGCAGGUCCCAAGGGUUUGGCUGUUCGCCAAUUAAAGCGGUACGUGAGCUGGGUUCAGAACGUCGCGAGACAGUUCGGUCCCUAUCUGCUGUGGGCGUUGGAUGAUUGAGAGGAGCUGCAUUUAGUACGAGAGGACCGAUGUGGACGAACCUCUGGUGUACCUGUUGUUCUGCCAAGAGCAAGUGCAGGGUAGCUAAGUUCGGAAGGGAUAACCGCUGAAGGCGUCUAAGUGGGAAGCCCACCUCAAGAUAAAUCAUCCCUGGGGGUUCGACCCCCCUAAAGACUCCAGAGAGACUAUCUGGUUGAUAGGCUGCAGGUCUACGCACGGUAACGUGUUCAGCCGAGCAGUACUAAUAGGUUGUGAGGCUUGACCAU